rnacentral:rRNA from 1 species
GUUGAACGCUGGCGGCGUGCCUAACACAUGCAAGUCGAGCGAACGGAGGAGGCGUUUGCUCCGCUGACGUUAGCGGCGGGCGAGUGAUUCCCACGUGGAUAACCUACCUAUAAGACUGGGGUAACUACGGGAGAGCGGAGCCAAUAUCCGAUAAUAUAUUGAACCGCAUGGGUCAUUAGUCCUAGACGGCUCUGCUGUCACUUAUAGAUAGAUCCGAGCCGUUUUAGCUAGUUGGUAGGGUAGCGGCCUACCAAGGCUACGAUGAGUAGCCGAUCUGAGAGGGUGAUCAGUCACACUGGAACUGAGACACGGUCCAGACUCCUACGGGAGGCAGCAGUAGGGAAUAUUCGGCAAUGGGCGGAAGCUUGACGCAGCAACGCCGCGUGUGUGAUGAAGGUCUUCGGAUCGUAAAACACUGUGAUUAGGGAGGAACGAAUGUAUAAUUAGCUAUGGACGUCUUGACGGUACCAACUCAAGAAGCCACGGCUAACUACGUG